UACGUAGGGUGCAAGCGUUGUCCGGAAUUAUUGGGCGUAAAGAGCUCGUAGGCGGUUUGUCGCGUCUGCUGUGAAAACUCGGGGCUCAACUCCGAGCUUGCAGUGGGUACGGGCAGACUAGAGUGCGGUAGGGGAGACUGGAAUUCCUGAUGUAGCGGUGGAAUGCGCAGAUAUCAGGAGGAACACCGGUGGCGAAGGCGGGUCUCUGGGCCGUAACUGACGCUGAGGAGCGAAAGCAUGGGGAGCGAACAGG
rnacentral:rRNA from 1 species